GACGGCCUUCGGGUUGUAAACCUCUUUUAGCAGGGAAGAAGCGAAAGUGACGGUACCUGCAGAAAAAGCGCCGGCUAACUACGUGCCAGCAGCCGCGGUAAUACGUAGGGCGCAAGCGUUAUCCGGAAUUAUUGGGCGUAAAGAGCUCGUAGGCGGUUUGUCGCGUCUGCUGUGAAAUCCCGAGGCUCAACCUCGGGCCUGCAGUGGGUACGGGCAGACUAGAGUGCGGUAGGGGAGAUUGGAAUUCCUGGUGUAGCGGUGGAAUGCGCAGAUAUCAGGAGGAACACCGAUGGCGAAGGCAGAUCUCUGGGCCGUAACUGACGCUGAGGAGCGAAAGGGUGGGGAGCAAACAGGCUUAGAUACCCUGGUAGUCCACCCCGUAAACGUUGGGAACUAGUUGUGGGGUCCAUUCCACGGAUUCCGUGACGCAGCUAACGCAUUAAGUUCCCCGCCUGGGGAGUACGGCCGCAAGGCUAAAACUCAAAGGAAUUGACGGGGACCCGCACAAGCGGCGGAGCAUGCGGAUUAAUUCGAUGCAACGCGAAGAACCUUACCAAGGCUUGACAUAUACGAGAACGGGCCAGAAAUGGUCAACUCUUUGGACACUCGUAAACAGGUGGUGCAUGGUUGUCGUCAGCUCGUGUCGUGAGAUGUUGGGUUAAGUCCCGCAACGAGCGCAACCCUCGUUCUAUGUUGCCAGCACGUAAUGGUGGGAACUCAUGGGAUACUGCCGGGGUCAACUCGGAGGAAGGUGGGGAUGACGUCAAAUCAUCAUGCCCCUUAUGUCUUGGGCUUCACGCAUGCUACAAUGGCCGGUACAAAGGGCUGCAAUACCGCGAGGUGGAGCGAAUCCCAAAAAGCCGGUCCCAGUUCGGAUUGAGGUCUGCAACUCGACCUCAUGAAGUCGGAGUCGCUAGUAAUCGCAGAUCAGCAA
rnacentral:rRNA from 1 species